rnacentral:rRNA from 1 species
AUGGCGUCGCUUCUGUCGCCCAACACAUUCGCUGCGACCACGGCGAGGCCGACCGGCAGGAGGGGCCGCCUUACUCCCAGUGUCACCGCCAUGGCAACCAAGGGCCCGAAGCCCAGCUCCGGCGGCACGAAAAGAUCGUCGGGCACUACCACGGUGUUCCCGGUGGGGAAGCCCGCGGGCCCGCCGCGGCCGGCGACGACGAAGGGGUCGGCGCCCGUGAAGCUGCUGACGAACGUGGAGAAGCUGCGGCUGCUGACCAAGGCGGAGAAGGCGGGACUGCUGUCCGCGGCGGAGCGCGCCGGGCUGUCGCUGUCAGCGGUCGAGCGGCUCGGGCUGCUGUCCAAGGCGGAGGAGCUCGGGGUGCUGUCGGCCGCCACCGACCCCGGCACCCCCGGCUCGCUGCAGGGCCUCGCGCUCCUGCUGCUGGCCGCCGGCCCCGCCGUCGUCUUCCUCGUCCCCGAGCAGUACCCCUGGGAGGUGGCGCUCCAGGCCGUCGCCGCCCUCGUCUGCGUCGCCGGGGGCUCCGCCGCGUUCGCCGCGUCCAGCUUCGUGUCCAGGCUCCAGGGCUCCUCUGGCUGA